rnacentral:rRNA from 1 species
GACGUAGGUGGCGAGCGUUGUUCGGAAUCAUUGGGCGUAAAGGGUGCGUAGGCGGCGCGGUAAGUCGGGUGUGAAAUCUCGGAGCUUAACUCCGAAACUGCAUUCGAUACUGCCGUGCUUGAGGACUGGAGAGGAGACUGGAAUUUACGGUGUAGCGGUGAAAUGCGUAGAUAUCGUAAGGAAGACCAGUGGCGAAGGCGGGUCUCUGGACAGUUCCUGACGCUGAGGCACGAAGGUCAGGGGAGCAAACGGG